rnacentral:lncRNA from 1 species
AUGCUCUUCGAUCUGGCCACCAUGGACAAGUUCGCAUGUUUGGGCAGUCACCUCUUGUUCACCCACUCAAUCAUUUCUACUGUGGUCAGCCCUUGCAAGUUCUCAGCUCUACUGAAUCGGAAACUCUGGGGUGAUAUCCAGGACAUUGUGUUUUCAAGAGAGCUCCAGAUGCUUCUGAGGCACACUAAACUUCCCAAAGCUCUGGUUAUAGAUGUUGGACUCUGUUAUCUCACACUGCUAUGUACACACGGCUCGCAGAGAGAAGAAAUGAAAAGCCAACAGAUUUCUCCCUGAGAGAUUACAGGUAUGUGCCAAGGUUCCUAGGAAACUGCCAGCUCACCUCUCAUGACUAAUGACCUCUCCUGACAAGUGGACAAUAGACAUUCAAAGCAGUACUGCCACUGAUUAAAAGUAAAUUGCCACUUCUUAAGGAAUACUAGGUGUUGGGGCAUUGUGAGUAAAAACACUACUUGUGACAGAGGCAUCCUGUAUUGGUGCCAGUUUGUGUCCCAGAUGCUCCACUAAUGGCCUGGGAAGGGCAGUGGAAGAUGGCCCAAGUCCCUGGGCCCAUGCCACUGUGUGGGAGACACAGAUGAAGCUCUUGGCUCCUGGCUUCAGAUUGGCCCAGCUCUGACAAUCGCAGCCAUCUAGAGGUUGAACCAGUGGAUGGAAGAUCUCUCUGUGUCUCCCUGUCUAUGUGUAACUCUGACUUUCAAAUAAUUAAAUUAAUGGAUCUUUUUUAAAAAGAGAGAACACAAGGCAUUCAUAGGUAAAAUCAGACCUCCUUCCAUCUGCAGAUGUGGAGCUAGAGCAAGCAAGUGAAGACUCUCAAACCCUUUGUAUAGAACAGGGAAAUCAGAUCAGCCAGACCAGUCACUCCUGCUCUCUGG